ACGGGGGGUGCAAGCGUUGUCCGGAAUCAUUGGGCGUAAAGGGCGCGUAGGCUGCUAGAUAAGUCAGAUGUGAAAUCUCUGGGCUUAACCCGGGUAGGGCAUUUGAAACUGCAUGGCUUGAGUAUGGGAGAGGAAAGUGGAAUUCCUGGUGUAGAGGUGAAAUGCGUAGAUAUCAGGAGGAACACCGGUGGCGAAGGCGACUUUCUGGCCCUCUACUGACGCUGAGACGCGAAAGCGUGGGUAGCAAACAG
rnacentral:rRNA from 1 species